AAUGGAGGAAACUCUGAUGCAGCGACGCCGCGUGAGUGAUGAAGGACUUCGGUUCGUAAAGCUCUGUUGCAGGGGAAAAAGAAAGUGAUGGUACUCUGCGAGAAAGGGUCGGCUAACUUCGUGCCAGCAGCCGCGGUAAGACGAGGGACCCUAGCGUUGUUCGGAAUCAUUGGGCGUAAAGCGGGUGUAGGUGGCUUUGUAAGUCAGGUGUGAAAGCCCGGGGCUCAACCCCGGAAGUGCAUUUGAUACUGCGAAGCUUGAGUGCUGGAGAGGUUACUAGAAUUCCUGGUGUAGUGGUGAAAUACGUAGAUAUCAGGAGGAAUACCGGAGGCGAAGGCGGGUAACUGGCCAGACACUGACACUCAGACCCGAAAGCGUGGGGAUCAAA
rnacentral:rRNA from 1 species